GACGAACGCUGGCGGCGUGCUUAACACAUGCAAGUCGAACGGAAAGGCCCUGCUUUUGUGGGGUGCUCGAGUGGCGAACGGGUGAGUAACACGUGAGUAACCUGCCCUUGACUUUGGGAUAACUUCAGGAAACUGGGGCUAAUACCGGAUAGGAGCUCCUGCUGCAUGGUGGGGGUUGGAAAGUUUCGGCGGUUGGGGAUGGACUCGCGGCUUAUCAGCUUGUUGGUGGGGUAGUGGCUUACCAAGGCUUUGACGGGUAGCCGGCCUGAGAGGGUGACCGGCCACAUUGGGACUGAGAUACGGCCCAGACUCCUACGGGAGGCAGCAGUGGGGAAUAUUGCACAAUGGGCGGAAGCCUGAUGCAGCAACGCCGCGUGCGGGAUGACGGCCUUCGGGUUGUAAACCGCUUUCGCCUGUGACGAAGCGUGAGUGACGGUAAUGGGUAAAGAAGCACCGGCUAACUACGUGCCAGCAGCCGCGGUGAUACGUAGGGUGCGAGCGUUGUCCGGAUUUAUUGGGCGUAAAGGGCUCGUAGGUGGUUGAUCGCGUCGGAAGUGUAAUCUUGGGGCUUAACCCUGAGCGUGCUUUCGAUACGGGUUGACUUGAGGAAGGUAGGGGAGAAUGGAAUUCCUGGUGGAGCGGUGGAAUGCGCAGAUAUCAGAAGGAACACCAGUGGCGAAGGCGGUUCUCUGGGCCUUUCCUGACGCUGAGGAGCGAAAGCGUGGGGAGCGAACAGGCUUAGAUACCCUGGUAGUCCACGCUGUAAACGGUGGGUACUAGGUGUGGGGUCCAUUCCACGGGUUCCGUGCCGUAGCUAACGCUUUAAGUACCCCGCCUGGGGAGUACGGCCGCAAGGCUAAAACUCAAAGGAAUUGACGGGGCCCCGCACAAGCGGCGGAGCAUGCGGAUUAAUUCGAUGCAACGCGUAGAACCUUACCUGGGUUUGACAUGGAUCGGGAGUGCCCAGAGAUGGGUGUGCCUCUUUUGGGGUCGGUUCACAGGUGGUGCAUGGCUGUCGUCAGCUCGUGUCGUGAGAUGUUGGGUUAAGUCCCGCAACGAGCGCAACCCUUGUUCACUGUUGCCAGCACGUUAUGGUGGGGACUCAGUGGAGACCGCCGGGGUCAACUCGGAGGAAGGUGGGGAUGACGUCAAGUCAUCAUGCCCCUUAUGUCCAGGGCUUCACGCAUGCUACAAUGGCUGGUACAGAGAGUGGCGAGCCUGUGAGGGUGAGCGAAUCUCGGAAAGCCGGUCUCAGUUCGGAUUGGGGUCUGCAACUCGACCUCAUGAAGUCGGAGUCGCUAGUAAUCGCAGAUCAGCAACGCUGCGGUGAAUACGUUCCCGGGGCU
rnacentral:rRNA from 1 species